GGGCACUCUAAUGAGACUGCCGGUGACAAACCGGAGGAAGGUGGGGAUGACGUCAAGUCCUCAUGGCCCUUAUGGGUAGGGCUACACACGUCAUACAAUGGCCGGUACAAAGGGCAGCCAACCCGCGAGGGGGAGCCAAUCCCGUAAAGCCGGUCGUAGUCCGGAUCGCAGUCUGCAACUCGACUGCGUGAAGUCGGAAUCGCUAGUAAUCGUGGAUCAGCAUGUCACGGUGAAUACGUUCCCGGGUCUU
rnacentral:rRNA from 1 species